rnacentral:rRNA from 1 species
UACGUAGGGUGCGAGCGUUGUCCGGAAUUAUUGGGCGUAAAGAGCUUGUAGGCGGUCUGUCGCGUCUGCUGUGAAAAUCCGGGGCUCAACCCCGGACUUGCAGUGGGUACGGGCAGACUAGAGUGUGGUAGGGGAGACUGGAAUUCCUGGUGUAGCGGUGAAAUGCGCAGAUAUCAGGAGGAACACCUAUUGCGAAGGCAGCUCGCUGGGACGUUACUGACGCUGAGACGCGAAAGCGUGGGGAGCAAACAGG